AGAAAAUAUUCAUGAAUUUUAGGAAAAUGUUUAUGAAUGUGAAAAAUGUGCAUGGAUUUAGGAAGAUGGUCAAGCAGUCCAGUCUUUUCAUCGGAACUUUCCUGCUUCAUAAGGGAUGGCCCAAAGGAGGUUGCACGCUCCAUCAAUAGGUUUUAAAAUAGGAUUAGACAUCUUUGACUGUUCUUGUAUGGUGGGCUUCGGUUUGCAAGAAGGAAAAAUAGAGAUUGUGCUCAGACAUAAAUUUUGUGAAUAUUUCUACCCAUACAUAUUUUACCCAAACACACGACAUGUACCUUUUCUAGAUAACAAUAAAAACAUGCUGAAUUGUUACAUUCAUUUAAUAUUGGCCCCAAAACCAGCCAUAUGUGUAUAAGACGCCACACAUCGCCACAUGGGUAACAAUAUGCAUAAAUCCAAACCGUGACACCUAUUUGACUCCUCCCACCAUAACCCUAGAACGAAGCUCUCAACAUCCUUCCGCCGCCACACCUCAUAGUUGUCAUAAUCCUCACGAGGUUAGAACUCUAGUAGCGCAAAUCUGCAGAUCUACAAAUCACCCUAGGACAGGGUGGGGAGUCCUUUGAAAGUGGAGACCAUCCAAGAUGACCAUGGAUGCAUCUGAGAUGUGUUACAUUGACCUCCUCCACACCAAGACAUCCUCGCAAACAUCUUCUCAUGCCUCUCAGAUCCGACAAGCAUCGCCCACUGUAUGCUCGCCUGCAAAACAUGGUCCCAUUUGAUCAUUGACCGUGGCAUCCUUCGCCGUCACCGGCCACCUAUGCUCUGUGGCGUUUUUCAAGAGGAAGUCUCACCAGAAGAUCCAGCUAUUCGCUCCAUGCUCUUUACUCCCAUCGACCAGAUUGCAUCGCCCGAACUCGCUGAGAAAACCAACAACAUCCAAGCGAACCUUCCACUCUCUCUACCCAGUGGCCCGUGGUCCAUCGUGGACUCCUCAGAGAUCUUUUUCCUCCUUUGCCAUGAACGACGCAUCAUUCACGAGCCGGUCAUGCUGGUCUUCGCGGUAUACAACCCUAUCACCCAUGAAUUGCAGGAACUCCCUCCGGCAGCAAACAACCAGUAUCGCUUAUUCUUCGGCGCUGCCAUCUUGAAUGAUGAUGCAGUAGCUGCCAGUAUAGGCGUUUGCUCAGACCUGGAGCCUCAGAUAUGUCGUUCAAGGUGGUGUGGGUGGCGGUGGUGCCUGGUGACCACCAUGGUGAGUGGAUCUACCAGACAUUUGUGCACUCGGGUGGCGCCGCCGGUGACAGCAGCUGGAGCACCCUACCUUAUCAGGCCAGCAGUAUGAGGCCCCACGGCUGGUGCAUUGGUGGUACUCAUGGUCUACAUGCAGCUCGGGUUGGCACCGUGCUGUUCAAGAGUAUUGGACCCAUGCACAUGACGGAUCUCAUGAUGACGUUGAUGCUGGAUAUGCGCACAGGGGGGACUUCGCUGUUGGUGACACCGAAGUGUGGCGUGUUCGUGGAUUAUGGCAGGGGAGACGACGAGAAGUUGUGGUUCGUGUGCAUAAAUAAAUUCCUAGUGCUCCGGCUCUACAGCCUCCCGAAGCCGCCAAAGGGCAGUACUACGCGUCUCUUCAAACAGUGCAGCCUGGAAAGAGAGGUCGAGCUACAGCCGAUCAUCACGGGGCUGGUGGCCGAUGUCGACGCGGCCGACAUCUCCAUGGGUACGUCUUCUUCAAGAUGGACAAGUACGACUAUUUUGCAGUGCAUCUCCGGAGUUGUCUCUAUCCCUUCAUGUGUCGUGAGGAUUCGUAAUUUUGUUGUUGUGAUCUGCAGACUGCACGCAUCAUUCUGGAGUUUGAUGGAGUGCAGGGCAAGAUUUACCUGUAUCCAAAUUGUUUGUUUGUUACACCAUCGAAUUGUUCGUUUGUUACAUGUCAUGGAAGAAACGGGAUCUGCUGCUUGAUAACUUUAUAUUAGUUUCACAAUGCACCCCAUGUGUAUUAUUUUGGUUUAUCAUGAGAUUUUGCAGUA